UUAAAAUAAUAGAUACAGAAUUGACUUUUGAACUUUCAGUGUAUUUUAGAUGAUUAUGUCCCUCAAGAUGCUAGCACUGGUACUCCUUUUGGUGUUCCGUCAAGACAUGGGAACUCGAACACCACCCAACCGCAACAAAACUUUAAGCUUCAAGACAUGGACCCGAACAUGUUAUCGUACGCUGCUUACUUGAGUGGCUUUACUCCUUACAUGCCACCCACUUUCGGCUUUGCCCAACCCGACGGCUCGCAACCAUCCCAACAACAACCCAAACCCGAGGUUGAUAUCGUGCCGGAGACGUAACCCGAACCGGAGCGAGAGACAUCGUAACGCGGUAAAAGGUCGCAUAAAAAGAUGGAACCGAACCAACCUCGUCGUAUGCAUACUUACGUUUUUUUGGACGAAGGACGAGGAAUACACGUUGGUUCGGUCGUGGGUCAAUGUUUUGGAGGACCCCGAUGUUGCAAACUUUCAAACCGGUCCCGAAUUUUGGAAUAGGAUUUGUGAACUUUUUUAUAGCACGUGAGGAAAGGGUGAACAUCGUGACAAGGAUUCCAUCUCUAGCAAAUGAACCGACAUCAACAACAAGUGUCACGCCUUCCAAAAAGUUUAUCAAUGUAACUACGAUAAUCGGCCGAGCGGAGAAGGUGAUGUCGGGGUUUUAACGAAGGCUAUGGAAGAGUACGAGAAGACGAAAGGCGUGUUCACGUACUAUAAAUGUUGGGAGCUACUAAGAAAAAGUCCAAAGUGGGCUGGCGUACCAACCAUGACGUCAAGUAGUAGACGUAAAGCGAAACGGUCGAAAACGUCAUCUUAUGUUGACCCUGAAACACCAAUUUCCGAUGUCCACAACGUCGAUCUAAAUGUUGUUGUGGACGAUGACGAGGAAGUUGAAGAGUUGGCCCGACCGCUCGGUAGAAAAAAAGAUAAGCGAACCGGGAAAAAACCGAUGGAGUCGUCUUCCGAUCUCGAGUUGAAGGAAGAUUUCGAGGAGAUGAACCGUCGUCUCCAAGACAUUCGCGACCUCGGCCACAAACGUUGGGAGACUAUGAAAGAACGAGUCGCCGAAAAAAAUAGUUUAACGAGAUGCAAGCGGCGAGGCAAACGGAAAAGGACAUAGAGUUUUUGUCCAAACCGAUCGACCACCUCCAAGGCGACGCGUUGAUCGUUGCGCAAAUGCACCGCCAAAAACUCUGGGAAAAAUACGGGCUUUAGAUCAUCAUCUUUUUUUAACGUUAUCGUUUUUUUUAAG